GGGGUGAGUAAUGUCUGGGAAACUGCCUGAUGGAGGGGGAUAACUACUGGAAACGGUAGCUAAUACCGCAUAAUGUCGCAAGACCAAAGAGGGGACCUUCGGGCCUCUUGCCAUCAGAUGUGCCCAGAUGGGAUUAGCUUGUUGGUGGGGUAACGGCUCACCAAGGCGACGAUCCCUAGCUGGUCUGAGAGGAUGACCAGCCACACUGGAACUGAGACACGGUCCAG
rnacentral:rRNA from 1 species